AUUGAACGCUGGCGGCAUGCCUUACACAUGCAAGUCGAACGGCAGCGGGGGAGAAGCUUGCUUUUCCUGCCGGCGAGUGGCGAACGGGUGAGUAAUACAUCGGAACGUGCCCUGUAGUGGGGGAUAACUAGUCGAAAGAUUAGCUAAUACCGCAUACGACCUGAGGGUGAAAGUGGGGGACCGCAAGGCCUCAUGCUAUAGGAGCGGCCGAUGUCUGUUUAGCUAGUUGGUGGGGUAAAGGCUGACCAAGGCGACGAUCAGUAGCUGGUCUGAGAGGGUGAUCAGCCACACUGGGACUGAGAAACGGCCCAGACUCCUACGGGAGGCAGCAGUGGGGAAUUUUGGACAAUGGGCGAAAGCCUGAUCGAGCAAUGCCGCGUGUGUGAAGAAGGCCUUCGGGUUGUAAAGCACUUUUGUCCGGAAAGAAAUGGCUCUGGUUAAUACCUGGGGUCGAUGACGGUACCGGAAGAAUAAGGACCGGCUAACUACGUGCCAGCCGCCGCAGUAA
rnacentral:rRNA from 1 species